CUCCUUCAUACCAGAAACUCUCUGAAAUCUUCCACAAUUUUCUUUCUAUCCUUGAGGUAUCAUUUUACAUGAGAGUUCUCAGUGGGUCUUUUCAAACUGGAGACUCAUGAUCAUGACAAUCUGUAACUUCUUGCAAACUGGAGUGAAAUACCACGUCUAGGACAGAGACACUGAUACAACCUAGUGACCUUAGCCCCAGUUCAUCAACCCCUGUCUUUGAAGCCGACCAAAUGGGAUUUCUGAGAAGGAAGUUACAGUAAAUUGAGAAAUAUCAUCGGAGCAUGGAGAACGGUGGGCUCGGAGGCCCGUGCUGGGAGCCACAGCUCAGUGUGGCACCCAGGCCACCUGCACCCUGGGCUCGGGGUCUCCUCCAUCCUGCAUGUGCCUGCUCUGUGUCCAGCUGGUGGGCAUCGGCUAUUCCUCAAGAAACCUAGCUUGGUCCACUCCUGUUGGACCAGGCUCUCCGCAUCUCCCUGGGCCUCCUCCUUCGGCAGGGGACAGGUCUGUGCUCCCUGGCUAACUCCAACUGACCUCCUUCCGGCCCUGCCUAGGCUCCUUGCAGGCAUCUGUGCCCCCACCUGAGCAUACCCAGAGCUGCAGCAACGGAAACUCCUUCCUCCAGGAGCCUCGGUGGGACCAAUGUGCACCUUCUUCCUCUUCAUCCUUCUCUACCCUGGGGUUCCAGCACCAUGUUCAACCAAGAGGAUAGGUUGGUGUUUAUCAAACGAAUAAAUGUUCUGAGAACAAGACCAGUCCUCUAAUUUACACUAAGAUGUAAAUAACAAAUAAGAUUUCCUGGGUGGUCCUUUGAGAAAGACCUGGCAUCCCUGAGGUAGGAUGAAGGUGGUGGAAAGGGUAAGAAACUUACACCUGGGAAGACUCAGGCCAUGGCUCUGGGACAGGCUGGACUGCUGCAGGUACUGAUGGGAGUUACUGACUGGGGUCAGGGGUGGGGAUAGGAUCAUCUCCCUGAGCCCUGUGCAGGGGACUGGAUG
rnacentral:lncRNA from 1 species